CACAUGAAGUCCGACAUCAAAGCAAACUGUUUACUUCUAAUUAGCUGAAUUAUUUUGACAUGAUGUGAAAUCUUAAUCGAUUAGGUUUUAUGUUACGUUUUACAGUCUGACUGAGUUGCCUAUUGGCCAUAAAUCCUCUACCAUGUUGACAUCAUCGGCCCUUAUCCAUGGU